rnacentral:rRNA from 1 species
CGGGGGCAACCCUGAACACGAGUGGCGGACGGGUGAGUAACACGUAGAUAUCUGCCCCAAAGUGGGGGACAACCUCGGGAAACUGAGGCUAAUACCCCAUAGUCCCGACAGGGUAAAGGAUGGUUUACCAUUCGCUUUGGGAUGAGUCUGCGGUCUAUCAGCUUGUUGGUAGGGUAAUAGCCUACCAAGGCGACGACGGAUAGCCGGCCUGAGAGGGUGUACGGUCACACUGGAAUUGAGAUACGGUCCAGACUCCUACGGGAGGCAGCAGUUAAGAAUCUUGCGCAAUGGGCGAAAGCCUGACGCAGCCACGCCGCGUUAGGGAUGAAGGCCUUCGGGUUGUAAACCUUACUAAGUUGGGACGAAUAAGUAUGGUCUAAUAGGCCAUGCGAUGACGGUACCUUCCUGAAGCCCCGGCUAAUUACGUGCCAGCAGCCGCGGUAAUACGUAUGGGGCAAGCGUUGUUCGGAUUCAUUGGGCGUAAAGGGCACGCAGGCGGAUUUAAAAGUUGGGUGUUUAAUCCUCAGGCUUAACCUGAGACCAGCAUCCAAAACUUUAAAUCUAGAGUACCAGAGGGGAAAGCGGAAUUCUCGGUGUAGCGGUGGAAUGCGUAGAUAUCGAGAGGAACACCAGUGGCGAAGGCGGCUUUCUGGCUGGAUACUGACGCUCAGGUGCGAAAGCGUGGGGAGCAAACAGGAUUAGAUACCCUGGUAGUCCACGCCCUAAACUUUGUAUACUAGAUGUUGGAGGUUUCAACGCCUUC